UACCAUGAUUCCAUGGGGCUUGUCUGCAGUGGCAAUGUCCCUUCCUAGGCAUGGAAAAAUAUUUUGCUUUCUUUUAAUGUAGCUGUGUCCACCAGGUUGGAAUCAGUAUUUUAAAAGUAAGUGACAGUA